rnacentral:rRNA from 1 species
CCAGCAGCCGCGGUAAUUCCAGCUCCAAUAGCGUAUAUUAAAGUUGUUGCAGUUAAAAAGCUCGUAGUUGAAUUUCUGGGCUGGCCGGGAGGCGGCCUUCGGUCGACCUCCCCGCGAGUUCAUCCUCGCCCCUCGGGGCGUCAUUUACUGUGAAAAAAUUAGAGUGUUUAAAGCAGGCUUCUGGCUUGAAUACAUUAGCAUGGAAUAAUGAGAUAGGACCGAGUCGUAUUUUGUUGGUUGCGCGAACCGGUAAUGAUUAAUAGGGACAGUUGGGGGUAUUCAUAUUUAAUUGUCAGAGGUGAAAUUCUUAGAUUUGUUAAAGAUGAACUACUGCGAAAGCAUUU